GAUGGAAAAAUAAUUCCGUAGCUCAAAGGACAGGUGGUGAUAUGAGUGAUAAGUGAAAACAUCUGAGAUUGAAUAUUCUUGUUAUAUAACAAUUUCUGCAUUUAUGUGACAUCACUAGCAUAUGAUUUUUCAAAACACACUACACACAAUUCUCUACCUAAAACCCAAAGAUCUAUCAGGAAGUGACUUGCUUUCCUUUUCCAAACACAACCAAUCAAAAUGCUACACAGACACACUCCUCACUGUGCAAACACUAGUUGCCUAACUGAUCACUAACUAAUCACUGCUUUAGUGGGCCUAUAAAUAGGGACAGCGGGGGGGUGAUAUAACCGUGUGUGCUGCCAUCACUCAAAAUGGGGUCCUCCAUCACAACGCCACACUGGCUCCAUACAACACCGGCCACAUACUCACUGUUCUGGAUGAAAUUCACACUGCUUGUCCCUGAUCCAGAUCAGGCGCCUGCUAGAUUUGUGGUUCUAUGGGACCAUGUUAGUUUUCACCGGGCUGGUCUGGUUCUAAACUGGUUUGCCACCCAUCCACAAUGUGUAGUUCUGUACCCACCCCCAUAUUCAGCUUUCCUAAAUCCCAUAGAGGAAUUCUUCUCAGCCCGGCGCUGGGAAGUGUGUGAUCGCCAACCCUAAGCCCGCACGCCGCUUCCCCGGGCAAUGGAGGACGCAUGUGGGGACAUAGAAGUUGCCUCUGUCCAAGGUUGGAUACGCUAUGCUAGGAGAUGCUUCCCUCCAUGUUUGGCAAGAGAGAACGUAUCUUGUGAUGUGGACGACGUGUUGUGGCCAGACCCGGAGAAGAGAUGGAGCUCAGCACUGGGGACUGCACCCCCUCUGCCCCCCGGCCAAUUCCUGGACCGGGACCCCACACACAAUUUACUGUAUUCUACUGUAAAGAAUAUGCUUUUGGUUUACAUGUUUAUAGUGUUGUUGUAUGCUAAUGUAUACAACUGUAAUGUUUGGCCUAAUAAUUACUUUCUGUUUCUACAUUGCAUUGGUGUUGGUGUACUUGUUACCCCUCUCAGCACGUCACUUUCACUGUAGAACGCUGUAUUUAAAUGUAGAUAUGAGCCUAUGAAAGACCAGAGCUUUAGAUUUAGAACAGCAGUGGUUACAUGGUACAUCCCAACAUGUAUUAUUAUGAAGUGUUUGCCAUUUGAUGCAGAUGCUUCAUUCUGACACGUGUUUAUGGCAUUUUGAAUGCAGUGUUGCAUUUUGAAGGAGAUGUGAGGCAUUUUGCAUUUUGUGUGUGCAGUUUUGAGAAUUGUGUGUAGAGUUUUGAAAAAAGGAGACUUAGUUUUGAAAACGUGUGUAAGCAGUUGGUAAAAACUGCAAUCAGACUGUGUGUGUUCUGUUUGGAACUUUGACUCGACAGAUUUGUAUUUAAAGCUUGUUCACAUGAGCUCAGAGGACACAGAUGACACAAGGGGGGAUGUGUGUGUGUGUGUGUGUGUGACCUUGACACUGACAGAGCUUUGGCCUUAGGCCUGUCCUUUGGCUGGGACACACACACACACACACACACACACACACAUACACACACACACAUUUAAACAUCUUGCACAAACACAUUAGCACAUGAACAGAAAUACACACAGUGGACACACACAAACAUACAUAUAAAGAACCCUGAUGAAAUAUGCACAAAUAUUGUUAGUUACACACACACACACACACAGUUCCCAGUGUAGCCAGCAGGGCUGUGGCUCAUUAAUAUUGCAUUGAUUGGACAGAGAGGAGCAGCGGACUGGAAUAACUACGUCUGUGUGUGUGUGUGUGUGUGUGUGUGUGUGUGUGUGUCGGGGUAGAGGAGACAGGAUGGAGAGAGGAGGUGCGUCAGACAAACACAGCUUCAGGACGAGGACAAAAAGGUCCUCAGGUCCGACUGAAGCGUUUGAUGAAUCUCAUAAAGUUGAAGUCUGCUUUUAACCACGACGCUUCAUCAGAGGAGCUUCCAUCUGACACACGACCCGGACGUCCGCAGCUCUACAUCAAGACUUAUUAAAGACCUUUUGAGGGCACUUCAUGAAUUAAUCUUAAUACUAAUCAAUAUUCUGUAAAUGCUUUCAAAUAGAAUGCACUGUUUCUCCUAAAUAUAUCACACCAUCACCUCAAAGUCCUGCAAAAUAAUGUGACAUUAUUUGUUCAGCACAUGUACAGGUCUGAAGUGUCACGGUGUGGGUGUGUUUCCUGUUUUAUUUUGUAGUGUCCUGCCUCUCAUGUUCCUGGGAUAAAAAUAGAAAAUAAACACUGACAAAAAGUCUCAGUUAUCAAAAUAACUAAACAAAUAGUUGAGCCGUCAUAUUUUCUCUUUGACUUUCCUUUCCUACACACAGCAUCCAACGCUCUGCUGACAGGAAGCUGCACUUCACACGUCAACACUAUUGACACACAGCGUACAGAGAAUAGCACAAAGACACGUGAAGAUCAGUUUUGUCAUGAAGGGAGGAGAAAUCUUUUGUAAAUCAGAGAACAAUAGAGGUGAGAAAAGAAGAAAAGAAGUUUGGAGUAAGGAUGCAAGGAGGAAUGAGAGCGACGGAGAGACGGGAAGGGACGGGGAAAGAAAGGAUGAGGAAAGGUAACAAUAUGAAAGACAAGUUAGGCGAAGGAAAGAAAUGGAGGACAAAGGAGGGAAGAAGGAAAGGAAAGCUGAAAGGACGGACAGAGCAAAGGAGAGAGAGACAGAGAAGGGAAGAGAUGCAGGAUGGAUGGAUGGAGGUGAGAAGAUAUUUCAAACAGUCAGCAGGCACUUUGGAUUCCCCCGACUGCAUAUCAUCAUUAAAGCACACACACACACACACACACACACACACACACAAGCACAGUUUAGAGGCAAAGUGAGACGUUCGGGCCAAACGCAAAGCCAUUUCGUUGCCGCGGGAAACACUUCCUUGUUUGCCCUAACGCCCUCACUUCCUGUCCGCUGAGACGUUUAGAGAGCUGUGUGUGUGUGUGUGUGUGGCUGUGUGUGUGGCUGUGUGUAGUUUUUUAUGUUGCAUGGCUAAUUUUGACAGCAUGGGAAUGAGAGAGUAAGUAAUGGUCCCAGCAGACUGUGUGUGUGUGUGUGUGUGUCCGGAGACUUCCAUCCAUUAGUGAUAAUGGGGAAACGGAGCUGCUAUUAGUUGUUAAUGGACAAACACACAACCACACAACGGGCUUCCUUUCUGUCACACACACUCACACACACAUGCACAAAGGACUGCUUCCACCGUAAAGUGAGAGCUCAUUCAAGUCAUCAUACAGAUGGAAAUGUGUUCCAUCUUAACAAUCUACUCCUGGAGUGUUGGACCAGCGGAUGUCCGCCCUCCUCGUGCACACUGCUUGACCACCUGUUGGCCCUCGUGCACGCUUUGGACAUUUCCAGAUUGAAUUGACCCGGCAGAAGCGUUGUUGCCACCGUUAUUCUCCUAUUGUGUACGGCACCUGCCGGUGUAUAUCGUGUGAAGACAGGUAGAUUGUAAGAGUUUGAGACCAUAAACGGGUGGUUACAAUGUUUGUUGAGGGAAUACAUCAAGACAGAAGUACAGUCGUUUUCUCAUAGACUUCUAUGAGACCAGAUCAGUCUCCCCCUACUGGCCAGUACACAGAAUGCAGGUUUUAAUGGGUUAGAGGGUUUCUACUUUAUUCUCAUUUCUGUUUCACUACCCUCUGACCUCUUCAUCUUUACUUCUGUUCUCUUCCAUUUCUUCUAUCUCCUCCUUCUUCUAUUUUCCCGUCCUUCCUCCUCUUUCUGAUGGGUUUUUCUCUCCAUCUGGACUUGUUUGCUUGUAGCCUCAUUCCUCACCAUCCACGCCCUCUAUUUCCUCACUAUGCCUUUACAAUUUCCCCCAUCUCUCCCUUGUCCCCUGCCUUUUUACGGUCCCUUUUACUCCUCUUCAUCUCCAUCCUCUUCUACCUCUGGUUACUCUUACCGGUUGCUUCAUCCGUCACCUCCCUCUCUUCUUUCUCCACUCCACUUUCCCUUCUCCCCCCUUACCCCCCUUGUUUUUCUCUCUUUCUCUUUUCUCCCUCUGUCUAUGUUAUCCCCCUCCCCUCCCCAAUCCCCACCUCCCUCCCUCCUAUUAAGGUCAGAAUGGUGCUAAGUAUCUAUCAGUGCUGAUGAGGCUCAGGAGACUCCUUUGUUCUGAACGAGGGUGAAAAUUUGAAACAGCCACAAGAGCAAAUAGCACGACCCCCCCCCCCUCACAUCCAUCCCUCCAUCCUUCACCCUGUUGUCGUCCGAUCAAUUGCUCCUUCUUCCUAACAACUGUAUUGAUCAGAUGCACUAACAACAUCUUUCAUUUAUUAAUUAUGAGAGAAUGUCUUCUUGGGAUUUCUCUCCCUCUCAGCUUGUUCUCCUGCCCCCCUCCACCCCACCCCUCCAUCCUCCACCUAUCUGCCCAUCCCUCCAUUUUAGAACUGAUUUGACUUUGUUACAUGGGACAGUUUUACCCACAUUUCUUUUUUGAAUAUGAAAUAGAUUUGGUUGUUCUGGUUUCUUUUACCUUGACUUAAAGGCUAACCCCCUUUCAAACCCGACUUUCCAGAGGAAUGUUGGUUCUAUUUCAUCCUUACUGACCGCCAGAGGCAGUGCUUCACACUGGAUUAUCUUCUGUCUCGCGCAUGCUCAGGUCGAGUCUUUAUACCAACAAAGCCGGGCAACUGUGGGUGAGUGGGGAGCAGGUCGUCCUCCAAUCAGAGGGUUGUCGGUUCGAUCCCAGGCCCGGCUAACCCGCAUGUCGUUGUGUCCUUGGGCAAGACGCUUAACCCAACAUGGCUCCUGUAGCUGCGACUACAGUGUGUGGAUGUUAGUGACUGAUGGCAGGUGUCACUGUGUGUGGUUCUCCUGUCAUCAGUGUGUGAAUGGGUGUGAAUGGGUGAAUGAUGUCAUGUAGUGUUAAAGCGCUUUGAGUGGUCAGAAGACUAGAAAAGCGCUAAACAAGUACAGUCCAUUUACCAUUUACCAAAGUCACCUGUGACCCCGGAUGACCUCCCAACACGUAUAAGUACCGGUGUCAUCCUGGGAUCAGUCCUAUUUCAUCUUCUCGUUAGUCUGGUAGCUAGGCUUAAACGAGCUAAUUCUCUGCAAUAGCAUUUUGUACAUUUGUUUUGUACAUCUUACCACUACCACAGCUAGCAGGGUGCUCUCGCCCAGAAUAACUGGUGUGGUGCUUAGUUGACUAGAUCAUCACUAGAACGUUUAAAGUUGUUUGUUGCCUUAUGGCUAGCACAGCUAGCAGGUCGCCCCCCCUCCUGACUGAGGGUGGUGCUAGUUGACUGGAUCAACACUAGCACUGGCUACAUUUCUGAUGGGACCUUACGGCUAACACAUUUAGCAGGGUGCUCUCGCCCAGGCUAACAGGACGAGAUGCUACACCUGACCAGAACGACACGAACAUUGUGUCAUUGAAGAUCUAGCAAUGAUCACGGUUACACUGUGUCCUCAUUUGGGCUAAGACCGUGGAAAGCUGGCCCUGAGACUGCGACUAUCGGUUAGCAGAGUGUCCUCGUUCAAGCUAACUCGCAGAGAUGCUAAGUGGACUGAAUUGACAUUGACGUGGUGUCCAUUGAGGUUUUUCACACUUUCAGCUGUCGGUUGGCAAUGUAUCCUCGCUCAAGGUGAUACACAAUUCACUACAGCCACUGUCGAGAUGAAGAGAGUGCUCCCGCUCCCCUCUUACUUUAAGGACCGGCUAUUUGGUCCGUUUCCACAGUAGCAGAAGAGCUCCUGCUCACUGAAGGCUGAUGACACAACAGGGUGAUGAGCCUUAUCGGCAUGUCCCUUUUCCACCUCAUGCUUGCCCUCUCAGCUUUGCUUGCCGCUUCCACCGGCCGCAAUGAUUUCACUGCAGAUAUUGCCCUCAUAUCGGGGGAGCUUGGACGUCUGAUGUUCCCCCUGCUCCAGACUCGCCGCUGGGUUUGGCCGGCGCAGUCACCCCUGUCAGAGACAUAUCGGAGAAUCCUCCAAAGUGUCCCUGUGGAAGCCAGAGGAGCUGUUUUUUAGCUGAUAAACCAGGCGCCUCAGCAAAGAAUUGUAGAUAGCCAAGGCAGACAGCAGUUCUGUUUCUUUACAGGAACAUGCCAGCGUAUCUAUAGGGUUCCACUUUGGCCCUCCUCAUCCCCCAGCUAACUCCAGUAACUGCCACAAGUUGCCUGGACGCCAGCUUGUACCCAUGCAACACUACCAUAUGUUCCCCACAGGCAACUGCCGAACCUGGGGGCCCAGUCGUUGUGAAACCACCCUAGCCCUCCUCAGAGCACUACCACCAUUAGGGUGGCCCUGUGGGGCUGUCCGUCACCCCAGCGCAUGUGGACGACUUCCCCACAGCCUCUCCCCUUCUAAGAGGUAAACGGUUGUCUUACAUCUUUUUCCGCCUAUAGGGUGAACUGACAGCGGGCGACUUCAGGCUGCACAGCCUUCACUUGUAUGCCAAGUCUCGGGACAAUGGUAGCAUCAAAACACUACCUUAUCCCCAUGGAGCCCCUGUGGCACUUUGCCUGUCACAGCAGUAGAACAGGACACUGCUGACAUAGUGCUCAAGCAUUUCCUGCUAUACCAUGAGGGAAAGCAGGUGUCCCGUUGGACAACACCUCUGCUGUGUUGACGCCAAUAUCAGGGAUAUGAUUGCGCUUACUUGGGCAGCUUUUGCCUGACAGAGCCUUUGGGCAAUAACCCAGCCAGGAGUGGCUACUGCAUCGAGAGUUGAUGCCGACCCACUGCCCCCACCGGCUCUCCCUGACAGAGGGGACCACCGCUCUGGGUCAGGAUGCUCUGGCUCAGGAUGCUCUGGCUCACACGUGGCCAGAGAAUCCUAUUCAGGCCUUUGCCUCUGAUCUGUUCUUUACGGCGAGAGGAACAUCUGGUUGCAACCGAAGGGCUGGGUUUGACAUCCCAAACCCUGACGCCUUGACACUAUGGACCUGGCCACAAGAAGACCCGACAGGGCGUUAUGUGGUUGCAAAAAAUCGGUCAAACCAACUUCUGAAUCCCAGGGCGCGAUGUAUCCACCCGAGAGUAAAAAAAACAGAAAAACAGAAACUGUUUUCUGACCGGUGUGCCGUUCUCAACAGGACCCCGGUACAAGGCCCUGUGCCUGCUGUACUUGGGUUUCCACAAGUCCCUCCUCUUUAAGGGACAGUCUCCCUCUACCAUUGGAUUAUAGCCGGCCUCAUUUCGGGGCAGCCUACUGAGGUCGACAUCACACAGUAGGGAGCCACAGACUGGCGUCCCUCUGUCAAAAAAAACCCCCCAAAAAUGGGGGGGCUCCGCAAUCACGUCCUGCGAGCGGCCAAAAAGCCACUGAAGAGACGUACCCUUGGCACUGGAGACCCUAGACGUGCCUUUUGAACCCCCGACUCAGGCGGAGCUGAGAUGGCUAGUGGUCAAAAGGGGUAUCUCUCUCCUUGCCAUCGCAGCCACUAAACCUAUACUCGAGUUGCAUGCCUUGCUGGUGAGCAAAUCAUAUCUGAGGGUACCUCAGCUCUGGCAUUACUCUGUGGCCUAAGGCAGCGUCCCUCCCGACGGUGCGAACAAGCUCACGUAUCAACCAGCCUAUUUAGCCUGCACAGUUGACCCCCCUUCCAGCAGGAGAGGCGAGGUCAGGGCUACCGUGCCAAGUGCGGGCCCUCAGAGCUUGUGUAGAAGUUCCCGCUUGGAUAGAGCGGCUUAGAACGGUCAGUUAUGCUGGAACUGAGGGCUGUGCUCUCUUUUAAAGCAGCACCCACCCUACUGGGUUUCAGAGGCCAUUGCCGAGACAUACAAGACGAGCAACCAAGCUCAGCCAUUGAGAAUCAGCAUGCGUAAAGUUGUCCGGAUCGGCUCAUUUUACACCCACGCACUGAAUAUACACUAAUUAAUGUGUUUUUAAAUGAACGCUGAUCAUUUUGUUGCCGUCCAGAAACUGUGACCUUUCUUUAAACGGAACCAAAGCCGCACACUUUCAGUUUUCAAACUUCUCCUCUAUGUCAAAGUCUGCUUGGCACACCCACCAUUCUCAACCCACCUCCACUUCCUUCUUCUAGUUCUUCUGCCAGUUCUUUCAUCUUCAUAUUUGCUUUUGUGAUAUCCAAGGAAUCAAUGACAAUAAGCCGUGAACCUGCGCAUUUGAUUAGUGAGGACAUUUAGCUUUGAAGUGAGGUGACUAGUGUCGUUAUAGAUACAUUACAUGUCAUUUAGCGGACGCUUUUAUCCAAAGCAACGUACAAUAAGUGCAUUCAACCAUAGGGUACAAACUCAGGAGAACAAGAAACAAGAAAGUGCAAUUUCCUCAAAUAAGCCAAUUUACAAUUUGCUAUAGAUGAGUGACGUUACAAGUACAAUUUAAGUGCUACAAUUUGUUAGUCUUUAGUCGAGGUAGAGUCUGAAGAGGUGUGUCUUUAGUUUGCGGCGGAAGAUGUGAAGGCUCUCUGUGGUCCUGAUGUCUUCAGAGAGCUCGUUCCACCAUUUCGGCGCAAGGACAGAUCAAUGUCCCAAUUGUUGGGAUCUGUGUGGCGAAGAGGUGGCACGAAGACACGAGUAGCAACACGAUAAAGGACAAACAGGUGUUUUUUGUCUCUAAUGAGUGUGUCUCUUUGUCAGUUCUCAGAUGGGGUUCAGCCCUGCCUCCUUUCUUCUACCCUCCUGGUUGUCACCUUUGUGGCCUCCUCCUUGUCGUCCCCCCAUGUUGCUUCCUUCUCGCGUCUUCUCCUUAUUGUGUCUUCCUUGUUGUUGUCUCUACGUUGUCUCCCCCUUGUCGCGUCCUCCUAGUUUCCAGAGUGGGUGAGUCUUCAUUGAUUGGAGCAGUGAGGGCUGACACACUGACAAAUAGCCUUUUUAUUAACGGCCUGUCUGUGCCUGGUAGCCAGAGAUGGAAGAGAAGAACAAUUCAAUUCACUUCGAUAGACUUUAUGUCUCCCUGCAGGGCCGUUUUCAUUACAGGCAUAAAAACCCUGAUUAAAGGCAAAAAAUGGACGUCUUCUCAUAAGCUGUGGCUGUACCUUGGGCAGUCUCUUCAUGUGUUCAUAUUGUUUACAGUCCGUUUAUGUACUGGAAUGAUGUGGAUUUAAAUUGACAGUCGGAUCUUCAGUAUGAGGGGAAAUGGAUUUGGUGACAUCAUCUGCUUUUGUUAACAAAUAUGAGGUAAAAAGUAGUGAUGUCUUGUCCGUAUUAAGAGGAUAAAAUGUACUUCAUGGGGAUUACAAACUUUGUUAUUUAUUCAAAUAGCUUCCCUUGUCCCGAUUGCAUGUGUGAAUUGGCUUAUAUGAGUGUGUGUGUGUGUGUGUGUGUGUGUGUUUAACCCACCAAAUCUGGAUUAUUUAAAACAAUUUAUUUUGUAUAGUUUUUACAUUGUGGGACAAGCUUUGAGUGGCCUGUAAGUCACUCCAGUGAGCACACUGAGUCAUGUGGAGUUCAGGCAAGUUGCAAAUGUUCUAAUUGUUAAUUUGGAAAUAUUUGUUUGAUAUUAAUAAUAAUAUCUGUUUAAUUUAUUAAUAAAUAAACGCACAAAAAUAAAGAAAUACAAAACAAAAGGAAUUACAGGAUCCUGAUCAAUAGAUCAGAUUCAUCAAAUUAAAGUCAUUAAAGUGCACAUAUCUGUCGUGCCCAUGUUGGACAAGCUGCGUGGAGGGAUUACAACACAUUACUGAUCAAAUAACUACCCGCUCUGUUUGUGUUGCGAUAACACUAUGUUUGUUGUUAUUAUUAAAAACAUAUAUAACUUAGCAUGUGUUUUGUGUGUCGUCCUUUCGGAGUGUCUCAGAGAUUAGAUCUGCGUCCUCCCCCUCUCUCUCUCUCUCCGGUGUCCUCUCCCUCACCCGGCCCUCAGGGGUCCCACGAUUAGUCGGUGACAUGACAACCAAUUAAGGACUAAUUAAUCAAGCUCUAGUUGAUGGGUAAUAUCCUGAGCCACUCGGGGUGAAACUGUGUGUGUGUGUGUGUGUGUGUGUGUGUGUGUGUGUGUGGUGUGGUGUUGUGUCGCGUGUGUGUGCAAGAAUGUUGAAUUGAAAUGAAGCAUAAACGAACGACACCAAGAGGGAAAGAAAACCAUAAUGAGAUUCAGCCCCCUCAAUCUGUGGGGAAUUAAUGAUUCUGUGAUUCUGAUGCUGUGACAUGGCUCUCGUUCCAGUGACUUCCUGUACUGGUGUUUAAGUCAGAUUACCCACAAUGCCGUUUUGUCUGCAGCGCAAACCAAAUAUCAACAGAAAAAAGAGACUUCACAUGGACGGGUGUCUGCUUCAUCAUCAUGGACCGGGACCUACUGGGACUUCUCAGUAUGAGCAGAAUGUGAUGAGGACGAAGACCUUCAGGACACUUGAGUUUUUCAAUAAAUUAAAUCUUUUGCUUUUGUUUUGUUUGCAUUGACUCCAUUUUUCAGUGUUUUUUCAUGUGCACUGGGAUGGAAACAAUGCUGAUGUCAAUUAGGAUUCUUUUAAGUGGUGGAAACACAUGCAAAAGCAUCCGCUCUCUAAUAGUCACACUCCGUUGUAUUAGAUAUAUGGAUAAAGGCGUAUUUAGGUGAGCAUGAGAGGAGGUGGACGGUUCUAACAAACCGUGACAGCAGCAUUCAAACUUUUGUUUUCGGACCCAAAGUCGUCCUGAAAAACAAGUAGUUCAAAGAAAUACUAAAGAGAGAGGAGCAUUCCUGGACUAGUAGUCACUAGUAGUAGUUUGUGACUAACCACGAGACUGUGAACCAGCUCACGGCAUCCAAACCCAACAACACUGUGUGGGGAUCUUAAACGUUCAUAUGUAAACUCUAUACAUAAGAAUAAACAACAUAAAUAUAAUAACAUGCCGGCUUAAAGGAUGCAAAGAACAACUGUUGCAUUCAAUAUUUAUUCAAACAGUGACAAGUGUAAAGCUGUGUGCUGCGAUCACAGCCUCAUCCAGCCAGUAAAGUAGCAACGUAGCUUCACGUACGCAAACAAGCGUUAUCGCAGAAGUCCAAACCAGGAACAAGGAAGUGAAACAAAAUGGGAGCAAGAGCUGCAGUGUGAUUUCUCGUGUGAAAGACGGAUGCAGCAUCAACACGUUGAAUGGGUGCCGCGGUGCAAACCUGCAGCAGUAGUCCGCCCUGCAGUGCAACUCUGUCGGCCACCUAAAAAUAAAUGUGGUCACCGUGCGGGGGGCCGGGGGGCCGGGGGGCCUCGGGCCGACCGAAUGGAAGUAUUGAUAGAAGCAAAGGAAAGAGAAACACACACACAUACGAAGCAGAGUGUUAGAGCCGCUGGCCAGAGGCCACAGCAACCCUAUUGAUCCAUUGUUGUUUUUAGCACAUCUCUACACACGCUGACACACACACACACACACACACACACACACGUAGGAGAGGCCAGCAAUGCUAUUAUGCUGGGUUGUGUUGUGUUUUUUUCUCCAAUCCAUGCCCUCAUUUUAUCCUCUACUAUCUGCUUUCACAUGGACAGAACACACUUUCAGACUUGUAAAACACAAACCAAUAAAAAUGAUAUAUAUAUAUAUAUAUACACACACACAUAGUGGACGUGCAAGCCGUUUGACUUAAAAACAAUGUGAAGGUUUACUGAUAUGGGAAUAUGUCAGAUGAGGACGUGUGUGUAGCUCUGACAUCAAGUCCGUUGAAGCCAUUCGUUUCCCCGGCAGCUCACUGGUUGAUUAGCCUGAAGCGUUGGGUAUUGUUGCUAUAGUUACCUGUAGUUCAAGGCACAUGAUCACCAGCUUGGAUUGACAGAUGAAAACCCAACUUCAUAACCCAAAUGUAUCAUUAAUGUAUUGUUCAAUAGUAGUGUGAAGUCAAUGAAGCCCUUUUUGGACGUCAAUUUCAGAAAGUGCUUCCCUGUCUUGAGACUCAGUGUCCAGAUUAAAAAUGCAUGUUUUAGUGUUUACUAUUUGAAUUUCCCAGACAAUCAGAAAAGUUUUUCAGCUCUUAGUCAAUGGAAGUAUGUAUAAUCAGCUGGUGGAAAUCAAUGUUUUUUUGUUGGCUCAAUAUUUGAAUGCCAAUCAACGAAAUAUCAUAUCAUAUAUAACAAUUGAUGCCAAAAAAACAGAAUGCACAUUGACAAAACAUGAAUAAUGCAAUACGCAAACCAGCCUGGUCGAUAUUUGUAUGAAUGAGUGUGUGUUUGUGUUGCUCUUCCCCUGCUGUGAAGUCAACCCUAAUGCUCUAUUUGCACUGAUUCCAUCGCCCAGUUCCCAUGCCCCCUCUCUCUGAUCGGGAAUUAGAUGGUUCACACACACACACACACACACACACACACACACACACACACACACACACACACACACACACACACACACAAACGAGCAGACAGGAGGAUCAGAGGUACAGCGAAGGCAACGCUCUGUUUCCAUGUGACUGACGGCUCAAACGUUCUCGCGCUGUAGCUGAUUCUCGCAGGAUCGCACUAAAAAAGUCAAUGUCUCUGCAUUGUGUGAGGAGCACCUGGUGGUGGAGGUGUGUGUGACAUCCUGCACGUAGGUUUAGAGAGCGGGUUGUGUUGGGACUAAAAGCGUAGAAGAAACCAAGUAGAGAAGACGCACCUUCAAGUGAUGCAGAAUGCUGCCACAGACACAAAACUCUAUUCAAAGAAUCUUUUUGGUUCAACAAAUAUUUUAAUGGUUUUCUCCACUUUACAAAAAAAGGUACAUGUACAAGUACAUAUGAGUAAAUAUAAAUAUCUGUGCCCUAAUUUAUUGUUGUGCGUUACUAAAUGGCAGUGCAUGGUGACUGAUAUGCGCAUGCACUUAAUAAAGAUUUUUUUUGCCUUGCAUGACCUUUAAUAAAACAUGAAUAAAAAAGAAUAAACUGAAACCAAAAGCUCUUUAGUAAUGUUGUCACACACAGAUACAUAAUGAGGGUUGCAGGGCUGAUACGUAUGUUGACCUUGUCCACUGUCAAGUCUCUAACUGAUCAUGUGACCUGACAAAAGGAAACACGGUUGCCAGUUUAGCAAAAUCGGUCGAGAGGACAAGUUGAGCUCCUUUUCUAGUCGAGCGAGCAGAGAGGCUUCCAAUGACGACUUCACAAUUCGCUCUGUGCAACAAAACAUAUGGAGCGUUUACGAGUUCACACUGUGGUUACUAUUCAGCCUGCAGUAUAGUAUGAUAAGAGAAAAUCUGAUUAUUAUUCAUUUACAAAUCCAAUGGAGAGUCUGACAGAGACAAAAAGAUGAAUGUAAAAGGAAACUGGUAUGGUGACAGUGAGUCUGUGAUAUGGCGGCAAAUCACGGUCAAAAUUCGAGAGCGCAAAUAAGGUUGAUGCGCGCAAGUAAAUCAAACAUGUGCCAGAAAAUGUCUGUAGCUGGUUGUCAUCUUCGGUCCACUACGGUUACAGAGGUGUCGUUUGUGUUUUGACAACGUUUCUUCAUAUAAUUUUGACUUUCUAUUGUCAUAUCCUGGCUCAAGGGCCAUGACAAAAGAGGCAACGAGGCAGCGUAACUGAUCAAAAGUCAUUUAUUUAACAAAGGAAUCAACUAAACAUAUCUUUUGUAACGUAUAACUUGAAUAAAGUAAAUAAAUCAAGCAGGGUAAUCAGGCCAUGGUUGAGAGGUGUAGUCCGAUCAAGUGGGGCUUCAUCACCAUUGACUCACCACUCCCAGGUGCCCCAGAUCUGCCAUCAACUCAGGAAAGAUGGUUACUACCCGAGAGAGGUAUCACUCCCAGAGAGUGUGAACCACACAGUCACACUGUCCCCUUUCUAUGGUGCAGAAAUGUCAUGUGAAUGCAUCACUCCAGCCAAUCCAAAGACGCGGUUUGUAACCAAUUAGAUGUAAAGAUACCAUGGUGACUGGCUCCGCCCCCUUACUGUCAAAAAGAACAACAGCGAACGCGUAGAAAACACCUUUGAGCGCGAGCAGAGACUCACCUCGCGAGCGACGAAGCUCACGUUGCGCGAGCGCGCAAAUAUGCAAAUAUCUCACGAGAGCAAAACUCCAGACUUUUGCUGGCGGAUGUUUGAUUUACGCGCGCGCAUCAACCUGAUUUGCGCUCUCGAAUUUUGACAGUGAUUUGCCGCCAUACUGUGAGCGGGAAACAGUUUCACUCCAUUGAUAUAAAUCACAUUUCAAAUCUUCUCUCCAUCACAACUCGCCUCCAUUCCUUUCUUUAUCUUCUGCUUUGCAAACUCGGAUUGACGCUCCUCACCUAUCCCUUUCUCUCUCUGUCUCACACACACACACACACACACACACACACACACACACACACACACACACACACACACACACACUUACUUUCACAUGGCCUCUGGUCUGUUCUCUACUCACAGGCCAAUCAAUAGACAACAUGUUGAGCUCUAUACAGACACAGCUACUAUGGAUCCAAAGCCUAAUUGCAUGGCUGCACGGCAAACUGCUACGUGUAUACGUGUGUGUGUGUGUGUGUGUGUGUGUGUGUGUGUGUGUUUAUUUUGGCACCUGAUUUUGUAAUCCGCGCGAGGUUAGUGGAACAGUCCGGGUGAAUGUGACCGCUCUGCUGUGAUACUUCAGUUUGGCUCCUCAGUGAAAUAAACUGUGUUGUUGUGAUUUUGGAUUCCAGAACUCGACAGUAUCAUGUGGUUCACAAAAAUGUGCAACGUCAAAGAGAUUUCAAACUACUGAGUUUGACACUGUUGAAGAGGUUUCAACAACUUCAAUUAGGUUAAGUAGAUAAGUCUAAAUAGAAUUCUGAGAUAAAAAGCAAUUAUGAUGAGGUAAAAAGAACAGAACAGAAGUGGAGACAUCCGCGAUAAGCUGCAGUUAUUACGUCGCCAUAUCAUUGCGUUCUUGACAGAUGACAUCACUGUGACGUCAUCAUCAUCUUCAUCAUCAUGUGUCCCACUCUUGACGAAUGCUGAAGGUCACCUUCCCUUUGGACAAACAGUCUUUUUAUGUUUUAUGUUUUAUUGUUACUGGAGUUCAUCUCCGAGGUUUGAACUGUGUCAACAGCUGCAACAUUCAAACUUAAUUUGAACACUUCACAUUCUUAGAAUACUAAAAAAAUAGGUUUGAAGGUCGGUAUGGAUCUGGGAGACCUUUCCUAAUGUAUUUGGAUUUGAACAUUUUAAUUAUUAGGGCCUGAGCCGACUGAGAGUCGGGGGAAGCCCUAUUGUGUUUCUAAAAAAUUCUUCUUCUUAUUUCUCCACUUUGAUCAAACUUUUGAGGCCUAUAUCAUAUUCAAAAACUCUUGAAUUUUGGCGUGCGAAUCAGAAGUGCGAAAAAUGUAGAUAUUCUUGGGGUUGCGCAUUUGGGGAUAAAAAAUGGCUCUCUAGCGCCCCCUGGAAGUGCUCCCUCUGGGGAAAUGUUUGCCUAGUUUCACCGAUUGACUUGAAAUUUUGCACACAGGUGCUCUUUGAUAUGCUCUACAAAAAAGUUAAUCAUGGUAUGCAAAUGUGCCUAGCAAGAUUUUCCACCAUUUUGAAUUUUGUGAAAAACACGUUUUUGUGAACUCCUCCCAGACGCUAAGUCUGAUUCUCACGAAAAGUUCAGGUAAUCAUUAUUAAUAAAAAGCUUGUUGAUAUCUCACUGGGUUUCGAAGUUAUGGACCAAUGAAGGUUGUAGGGGGUGUGGCCUAAAAGUGAAAGACCUAUAACUUCAAAAGUAAUUGGCUUGUCCUCACCAAAUCUCUACUUUAGGGGGCGCUGCAGUCGUUCUCUGAAAUUUUGCUUAUUUUUUGCAAUUUCCAUCGUAUUUCAGAUUUACAAACGAACAAACUCCUCCGAGAGUUUAAACCCAAUCAACUUCAUGUUCGGGCAAACUGAUCCUGACAACUGUGUUUAAAGUUAUUAAAAUGAAGAGUUUUUGUGAAACUACCUGAGCGUGGCCUGGCAUCUAUUCUGGUAGAUUUUGGUCGAUUGUCUUGAAAGCCUAAGAUGUUAUAACUCCAAGGAACAUUUUUAUUUCUGGCCGAAAUUUCUAAUUUAUGAUGUGAUUGUACGCCUUAAAGUAUUCCCAUGAAGUGAUUUUCAAGAAAUUAUAGCGCCACCUAUUGGCUUAGCUAAAUGCAAAAGUUUUACACUUUAAUGUGUAUCUCCUAGCCAUUUAAUGUGAUUAACCUCAAAUCAUUGAAUAUAAGCUUUACGGCUUUGAUGAUAGUUCACAGUGAAUAUUGGGAGUUUUUGAAAACUGUUUUUGCUGUAACGACACUGUCUUCGCAUGAAAGUUCAAGCAGAUAUUUUGGUGCCUUGGCAAACUCAAAAAAUCUUGAAAACUUCUGUCAGUGUGCUAGAUGAUGACAUUAAAGACCUGAUGUGGAGUUUUGACUCAAAAAUGGUCAAUCAUUAUAAUAUAGAUUUUUAAAAGUACAGUGCAUCCGGAAAGUAUUCACAGCGCUUCCCUUUUUCCGCAUUUUGUUAUGUUACAGCCUUAUUCCAAAAUGGAUUAAAUUCAUUAUUUUCCUCAACAUUCUACACACAACAACCCAUAAUGACAAAGUGAAAACAUCACAUGUACAUAAGUAUUCACAGCCUUUGCUCAAUACUUUGUUGAAGCACCUUUGGCAGCAAUUACAGCCUCAAGUCUUCUUGGGUAUGAUUCCACCAGCGUGGCACAUCUAUUUCUGGGCAGGUUCUCCCGUUCUUCUUUGCAGAACCUCUCAAGUUCCAUCAGGUUGGAUGGGGAGCGUCGGUGCAGCCAUUUUCAGGUCUCCCCAGAGAUGUUCAAUGGGGUUCAAGUCAGGGCUCUGGCUGGGCCACUCAAGGACAUUCACAGAGUUGUCCUGAAGCCACUCCUUUGUUGUCUUGGCUGUGUGCUUCGGGUCGUUGUCCUGUUGGAAGAUGAACCGUCGCCCCAGUCUGAGGUCCAGAGCGCUUUGGAGCAUGUUUUCAUCGAGGAUGUCUCUGUACAUUGCUGCAUUCAUCUUUCCCUCAAUCCUGACGAGUCUCCCAGUUCCUCCCGCUGAAAAACAUCCCCACAGCAUGAUGCUGCCACCACCAUGCUUCACUGUAGGGAUGGUACUGGCCAGGUGAUGAGCAGUGCCUGGUUUCCUCCAGACAUGACGCUUGGCAUUCAGGCCAAAGAGUUCAAUCUUUGUUUCAUCAGACCAGAGAAUUUUGUUUCUCAUGGUCUGAGAGUCCUUCAGGCGGGCUGUCAUGUGCUUUUUACUGAGGAGUGGCUUCCUUCCGCCCACUCUACCAAACAGGCCUGACUUGUGGAGUGCUGCAGAGAUGGUUGUCCUUCUGGAAGGUUCUCCUCUCUUCAUAGAACAACGCUGGAGCUCUGUCAGAGUGAACAUCGGGUUCCUGGUCACCUCCCUGACUAAGGCCCUUCCCCCCGAUCGCUCAGUCUGGCUGGGCGGCCAACUCUAGGAAGAGUCCUGGUGGUUCCAAACUUCUUCCAUUUCCGGAUGAUGGAGGCCACUGUGCUCAUUGGGACUUUCAAUGCUGCAGAAAUCUUUCUGUACCCUUCACCAGAUCUGUGCCUCGAUACAAUUCUGUCUCGGAGGUCUACAGAUAAUUCCUUGGACUUCAUGGCUUGGUUUAUGCUCUGAUAUGCACUGUGAUGUCAGCUGUGAUACCUUAUAUAGACAGGUCAAGUCAAGUCAAGUCAUUUUAUUUUGUAUAGCCCAUAAUCGCAAAUUAUAAAUUUGCCUCAGAGGGCUUUACAGUCUGUACACAUACAACA
ensembl:lncRNA